UGCGAUUAUGAAAAUUUUAGGCAACUCUAUGCAGGCGUAUAACGAUUUACGGUGCAGGAUGCGUGCAUCGGGUAGGGGAAGAGAGCGCUGAUGAAGAAGAUGGACGUAAGGAUGACGAAGAUGGCACCGAUGCAGCAGAAGCUGAAACGGCACCCUGAAGAGAUCCGACUCGUCGCUCGAACUUCCGGUAUAACGUCUGC